rnacentral:rRNA from 1 species
AGCAGCCGCGGUAAUACGUAGGGCGCAAGCGUUAUCCGGAAUUAUUGGGCGUAAAGAGCUCGUAGGCGGUUUGUCGCGUCUGCUGUGAAAGGCCAGGGCUCAACUCUGGUUCUGCAGUGGGUACGGGCAGACUUGAGUGAUGUAGGGGAGACUGGAAUUCCUGGUGUAGCGGUGAAAUGCGCAGAUAUCAGGAGGAACACCGAUGGCGAAGGCAGGUCUCUGGGCAUUAACUGACGCUGAGGAGCGAAAGCAUGGGGAGCGAACAGGAUUAGAUACCCUGGUAGUCCAUGCCGUAAACGUUGGGCACUAGGUGUGGGGGACAUUCCACGUUUUCCGCGCCGUAGCUAACGCAUUAAGUGCCCCGCCUGGGGAGUACGGCCGCAAGGCUAAAACUCAAAGGAAUUGACGGGGGCCCGCACAAGCGGCGGAGCAUGCGGAUUAAUUCGAUGCAACGCGAAGAACCUUACCAAGGCUUGACAUGGACCGGACCGGGCUAGAGAUAGUCCUUCCCUUCGGGGCUGGUUCACAGGUGGUGCAUGGUUGUCGUCAGCUCGUG